rnacentral:rRNA from 1 species
UACGGAGGGUGCGAGCGUUGUCCGGAAUCACUGGGCGUAAAGGGCGCGUAGGCGGCAUGCCAAGCGUGUGGUGAAAGCCCGGGGCUCAACCCCGGGUCGGCCGUGCGAACUGCUGGGCUGGAGCACUGUAGAGGCAGGUGGAAUUCCGGGUGUAGCGGUGGAAUGCGUAGAGAUCCGGAAGAACACCGGUGGCGAAGGCGGCCUGCUGGGCAGUAGCUGACGCUGAUGCGCGACAGCGUGGGGAGCAAACAGG